UGCCAGUGUCUCACAACUGUCUCACGGGAGUGAGAGAACCCUGUCUAACACACUAAUACAACAACUUCGCUGGGGAGGCAGCUGCAGGCUCCCGGGCUGACGAGGGAGAGAGAGCCCAGAGAUGAGAACCAGGAGUGAGGUCAGUGGGAGAAGUGAUCACAGUCAUUGACAGCAAAGGCCUUCAAGAGCUGCGGGAUCUUUGGGGAAGAGGAGUGACUUCAGUUGAUCUUUGCUGGUAGGGUGAGAGGUGAAUGUGCAAACGAUGGAACACUCAUAAUGCACCUUCUCCUGGGUGCUGCCGCUUUGAGAGUGAAGCUAGAACCGUUUAGGAAGAAGAGAUCAUCCACCUUUUUAGACUUGAGUAACCUCCAUGGCCUUGAGCAGAAGUAGACGUUACUCAGUUUCAGAGGGGUGAACAGGACAACACAGAACUGGUUCCUUGCGCCUGCAGCCAAAUUCAUUAAGGAAUGCGUGCCCUUCUUAGGAGAAGAAGGGUAUGUCUACAAACUCUAGGGCAGCGUUUCCUGAAAGAUACUCAGAAAAGAAAUUAAUUUCUUAGGAUGUCAUCAGAUUGGCAGCUGCUAUGGUAGGUUGAUAAUACGGUUCUGUGGGCCAAUUCUGGAAAAAAUUACAUUUCUUAAGGCACAAGCUAUUAAAACCUAGCCCCUCACCUUCAAAAACCCCUGCACAUGUUUAUUUAGUCCAGAGCCUCCCAAACUCAUCUGGACUGCAUUUUUCAUUUUGGGGGUAUAACAACCAGGACUGGUGAGCCUGUAGAGUCAGCAAGUGGA